AUUGUUCGAUAUUCAAUGCCCUAGCACUAAGUUAAUCCCACGAGUGCAUAAAAGAUUGACAUAACUGCUAUAAUGAAUGGUAAUACUCAGCGUAAACUUGUUAUGUCAGGCAUAAAGUACUAAACCCACGAAUGCAUAUUACGCAUAUUACAAUUUACGAAGCAUUUUUAAAUUCCCAUGAGCAAACAAACGUUCGCUUUACAAAGAUAUUUUAAUUUUUUAAAACAAAUUAAUCACCCUGUCAAAAUCCUUUGUGUUACGGCAUUGAAAUUCGAACAAUACGUUAUUUCAAUGAUUUUGGGUUUUUUUGAGACACCCUGUAUA